UUCGACGGGACCCCGCACAAGCGGUGGAUGAUGUGGAUUAAUUCGAUGCAACGCGAAAAACCUUACCUACCCUUGACAUGUACGGAACCUUUAAGAGAUUAGAGGGUGCUCGAAAGAGAGCCGUAACACAGGUGCUGCAUGGCUGUCGUCAGCUCGUGUCGUGAGAUGUUGGGUUAAGUCCCGCAACGAGCGCAACCCUUGUCAUUAGUUGCUACGAAAGGGCACUCUAAUGAGACUGCCGGUGACAAACCGGAGGAAGGUGGGGAUGACGUCAAGUCCUCAUGGCCCUUAUGGGUAGGGCUUCACACGUCAUACAAUGGUACAUACAGAGGGCUGCCAACCCGCGAGGGGGAGCUAAUCCCAGAAAGUGUAUCGUAGUCCGGAUUGAAGUCUGCAACUCGACUUCAUGAAGUUGGAAUCGCUAGUAAUCGCGGAUCAGCAUGUCGCGGUGAAUACGUUCCCGGGUCUU
rnacentral:rRNA from 1 species